AGCUCCGGCCACCGCCACCAGUUUGACCAGUCCGAGUCAGACCAGUGUGACCAGUUUGACCAGUCCAACUCGUCCCAGUUUGACCAGUCCGAGUCAAACCAGUAUGACCAGUUCAACUCUGGCCACCACCACCAGUUUGACCAGUCCAGCUCCGGCCACCGUGACCAGUUUGACCAGUGCGAGUCAGACCAGUUUGACCAGUCCAGCUCCGGCCACUGUGACCAGUUUGACCAGUCCGGCUCCAACCAGUUUGACCAGUCCAACCAAGCUGACCAGUCCGACUCAUCCCAGUAUGACCAGUCCAACUCGUCCCAGUUUGACCAGUCCGGCUCCAACCAGUGUGACCAGUUUGACCAGUCCAGCUCCGGCCACCGCCACCAGUUUGACCAGUCCGACUCGUCCCAGUUUGACCAGUCUGAGUCCGACCAGCGUGACCAGUUUGACCAGUCCCAGUCAAACCAGUUUGACCAGUCCAACUCGUCCCAGUUUGACCAGUCCCAGUCAAACCAGUUUGACCAGUUCGACCAGUCCAGCUCCGGCCACCACGACCAGUUUGACCAGUCCAGCUCCGGCCAGCGUGACCAGUUUGACCAGUCCGGCUCGUCCCAGUAUGACCAGCAUGGCUCCCAGUAUCACCAGUAACACCAGUACCAUCAAACCUGCGGCUCCCAGU
rnacentral:lncRNA from 1 species